GGGGAUGUAGCUCAGUUGGCUAGAGCGCUUGACUGGCAGUCAAGAGGUCGUUAAACAGUAUUGUGUAUGCUACUAAUUGAUUAACAGGUAUUUAGAAAUAACUAUUUAAUAGUUGUUUAACUAAAGUGCCAUAUAAAUGCCAAAAAGCAGUCUAUCUUACCCCA
rnacentral:tRNA from 1 species